rnacentral:rRNA from 1 species
GAUCAUUAAGAAUUGGAGGCGACUCCCUUUCUAUCGUGCUUACUUAACUGUAUGUCUACUCCAUUUUAUGUUGUCUGAACUACCAAACAAAACAAAAACUUUCAACAACGGAUCUCUUGGUUCUGGCAUCGAUGAAGAACGCAGCGAAGUGCGAUAAGUCUUGUGAAUUGCAGAAUUAGUGAAUCAUCGAAUCUUUGAACGCAUAUUGCACCUCUUUGAGGUAUACUUGGAUGACGUGUUGACUUGAUCGAGCAAUCGACGUUGAGGGAAGGCAUCGCCCCCCUUGAAAUUCAUGACCGUGCUGGGCACAAAACACAUCAAUUUACACGUCAUCUCAAGUAAGAAGACCCCCUGAACUUAAGCAUAUCAAUAAGGGGAGGAAAAGAAACCAACGGGGAUUACCUCAGUAACGGCGAGUGAAGCGGUAAAAGCUCAAAUUUGAAAUCUAGGCCUAGCCUCGAGUUGUAAUUUGCAGAGGAUCUUUUGGGUUCCCCCGGGGAGUAAGUCUCUUGGAAAAGAGCGCAAGACAGGGUGAGAGCCCCGUUCGACUCCUCCGGCAGACCUGGGUAAAAGUCCUUCGACGAGUAGAGUUGUUUGGUAAUGCAGCUCAAAGCGGGAGGUAUGUUCCUUCUAAAGCUAAAUAUUGGCCAGAGACCGAUAGCGAACAAGUAGAGUGAUCGAAAGAUGAAAAGAACUUUGAAAAGAGAGUUAAACAGUACGUGAAAUUGUUGAAAGGGAAGCAUAUGCUAUCAGACUUGUGGUUGUUCUUCACGGAGGGUUUUCCCUCCGGCACUGGACACUCCCAGGCCAGCAUCAGUUGUGGGGGCGGGUUAAAGGGCCGCGGAAUGUAUCUUCCUCGGAAGACUUAUAGCCGCAGCUGACAUGCCGCCCCGGCGA